rnacentral:lncRNA from 1 species
GCUUUCGGGCUCGGCGCAGUCUGCGGGCGGGAGGGCGCCGGCGAGGUGGCGAGGGCGGCUGGCGCGGGGGCGCGGGAGCCCCGGCUAAGCCCGGGGACGGGAGGGCGCCCCCUCCCAGCGCCCGAACCCAGGCAACUUCCCGCCGCCCGGGCAGGAGUUUCUCCGUAGCCCACGGACAUCCGGGAGGCUUGUGGAGGGCAGGCGGGUAACCCCCACUCCCACCCCACCUUUAUCCAGGGGCAGCCAGAGGAGCCAGCAGGUCGGGACUCGCUGAGGGGGCUCCACGCGGGGCCUCCCACGCACAGCGUCUGCUAUGUUGUCCAGGCUGGUCUCAAAUUCCUUGCCUCAAGCGAUCCAACUGCCUCAGCCUCCCGAGUCACUGGGAUUACAGGCAUGAAGACAUUGUUUUCAAGGGAUCACUCUGCUUUGUGGAGACUAGACUGUGAGGAGCAAGCCUCGAAAGGGGAGAGCUGUUUCGAGGUUCUCCACUGCAGCCUGCUCCACAGCCACGCCCUCCCAUCCAUGGCUACACACUCACAUUCUGGGCCUCUUCCCUGGACCAGAUUGCACAGCAGGGCCGCUCUCUCCAGUGCCUCCAGCUGGCCCCUGCUGACAAGUCCGUGUUGUGUCAUGUUGGGAGUCUGGGCAAGGCACGAGGGCCCCUCUCUAGCAGGUCCCGAUGGCUCCUCCACACCUUCAGGAAAAGCAAGAGAUAAACCAUUGCAUGCUGAGCUCUGCAGGGAACUGGAGGCGGACACCAUCCAUUCUGCAAACCUGCAAUGGUGACACUUCUGGAAUCUCCUUGCCUCUUCCAGGGCUGCAGCCUCUAAGGCAGGGCCCAAAGCAGGAUGGAGAUAAAGAUGCCCAGAAGAAACCAAAGCCUUCUUGGGGGAAACUGUAAGAAGUCAGGAGGGAAUUCUUUAUUAGAAAUUGAAGAUCCCGCUGGGCGUGGUGGCUCAUGCCUGUAAUCCCAGCACUUUGGGAGGCCGAGGUGGACAGAUCACCUGAGGUAGAAGUUCGAGACCAGCCUGGCCAACAUAGCAAAACCCCAUCUCUACUAAAAAUACAAAAAUUAGCCGGGCGUGAUGGCACGCACCUGUAAUCCCAGCUACUCAGGAAGCUAAGGCAGGAGAAUCACUUGAACUUGGGAGGUGGAGGUUGUAGUGAGCCAAGAUGGCGCCAUUGCACUCCAGCCUAGGCAACAAGAGCGAGACUCCAUCUCAAAAAAAAAAAA